GGGCUUGUGGUUUAGUGGUAUAAUUUUCCCUUAGCAUAUCUGCCCUUGGGUGUCGUAUAUCAUGGGAAAGGUCCUGGGUUCGAUUCCCAGCAAGUCCA